rnacentral:lncRNA from 1 species
AAUUCCGCCGCUCUCUCCUUUUAGGGUUCUUCAUUUUCUUGAGAUUUGAUCUCGAUGGUCUGACCAUUUUGCCCGAUAUUGUUGUAAAUAAAUCCUACGAUGAUAUAUAUUUUUGGUGAGUUUUAGAUCUCGGUGAAGAUUCUGAUGCGUGAUCAACUGUAUUGAAUGUGGUAAAAUACUUGUCAUUCUUAUAUUAACUUUCCUAAUAUCUAGGUUGACAUCAUCAUCCUUCUACACAUCUUCUCUAUUUUCUUAUGAUCCUUUCUUAAUAAUUUAACCAUUUUGGUCGAUGUUGUUGCAGACAAACCCUACCAUUUCAUUUUCGUUACGUUUUUUGAUUUCGACGAAUAUUUCACAGCGUAAUCAACUAUCAAACAAGG